AACGCUGGCGGCGUGCCUAACACAUGCAAGUCGUACGAGAAAGUUGGCUUCGGCUGAUGAGUAAAGUGGCGCACGGGUGAGUAACGCGUGGAUAAUCUGCCUUUUAGUUGGGAAUAACGUACCGAAAGGUGCGCUAAUACCGGAUAAUACUGCAUAACUACUGUUGUGUAGUCAAAGAAGGCCUCUGUUUACAAGCUUUUGCUGAAAGAUGAGUCCGCGUACCAUUAGCUAGUUGGUAGGGUAAUGGCCUACCAAGGCUACGAUGGUUAGCUGGUCUGAGAGGAUGAUCAGCCACACUGGAACUGAGACGCGGUCCAGACUCCUACGGGAGGCAGCAGUGAGGAAUAUUGCGCAAUGGGGGCAACCCUGACGCAGCAACGCCGCGUGAGUGAGGAAGGUUUUCGGACCGUAAAGCUCUGUCGAGCGGGAAGAAAUGUAUCGUGGCUAAUAUCCAUGAUAUUUGACGGUACCGCUAAAGGAAGCACCGGCUAACUCCGUG
rnacentral:rRNA from 1 species